AUGUGCAGGGCCCUCAGCCUCUUAGCCUCGUCGAUGAAAGGUCUCUUCUCGCUCUCUGACAGAAGUUUCCACUCUGCGCCCAGCCUCUUGCUUAUCUCCGAGUUGUGCAUUUUGGGGUUUUCUUGCGCCAUCUUCCUCCUCUGGCCUCGGGACCACACCAUGAAGGCGUUCAUGGGUCUUUUGACUCUCUCCGGGCUGUUUUUCUGCUUGUUGUUCAGCUUCUACUUGGACUCCGGAUCCAGAUCCAGCUUCCAUGCUUUACAUGGGCCCACAUGUACUUUAGGUGGCACAGGAAGGAUGAACAAAAAGAGGAAGAUGAAGAAGAAGAAGGGGAAGACAAGACGGGAGCAGGAGGCCCCUUUUUUCCCUCCCUUUUGAGCAGCUGACAGGUGAUUGAUGUCUAUCUCUUCAGACUAACAAAGAACAACAUU
rnacentral:lncRNA from 1 species